UACGAAAGGUGCAAGCGUUACGCGGAAUCACUGGGCGUAAAGCGCACGUAGGCGGACUCGCAGGUCAAUUGUGAAAUACCUGGGCUCAACCCGGGAACUGCAGUUGAAACCGCUUGUCUUGAAUACCUGAGAGGGUGGGGGAAUACCUGGUGGAGAAGUGAAAUUCGUAGAGAUCAGGUGGAACACCGGAGGCGAAGGCGCCUGCCUGGCAGUGUAUUGACGCUGAGGUGCGAAAGUGCGGGGAGCAAACAGG
rnacentral:rRNA from 1 species